rnacentral:rRNA from 1 species
AAUGAACGCUAGCGGCAGGCUUAAUACAUGCAAGUCGAGGGGUAGCAAGAUUGUAGCAAUACAAUUGUUGACGACCGGCAAACGGGUGCGGAACACGUACACAACCUUCCUACAAGUGGGGAAUAGCCCAGAGAAAUUUGGAUUAAUACCCCGUAACAUAGCGAUGUGGCAUCACAUUGCUAUUAUAGCUUCGGCGCUUGUUGAUGGGUGUGCGGCUGAUUAGAUAGUUGGCGGGGUAACGGCCCACCAAGUCUACGAUCAGUAGCUGAUGUGAGAGCAUGAUCAGCCACACGGGCACUGCGACACGGGCCCGACUCCUACGGGAGGCAGCAGUAAGGAAUAUUGGACAAUGGACGCAAGUCUGAUCCAGCCAUGCCGCGUGAAGGAUUAAGGUCCUCUGGAUUGUAAACUUCUUUUAUAAGGGACGAAAAAAGGUCUUUCUAGAUCGUCUGACGGUACCUUAUGAAUAAGCACCGGCUAACUCCGUGCCAGCAGCCGCGGUAA